UGGGGAAUAUUGCACAAUGGGCGCAAGCCUGAUGCAGCGACGCCGCGUGAAGGAAGAAGGUCUUCGGAUUGUAAACUUCUAUCAGCAGGGAGGAACCAAUGACGGUACCUGACUAAGAAGCCCCGGCUAACUACGUGCCAGCAGCCGCGGUAAUACGUAGGGGGCAAGCGUUAUCCGGAAUUACUGGGUGUAAAGGGUGCGUAGGUGGCAUGGUAAGUCAGAUGUGAAAACUUGAGGCUCAACUUCAAGAUUGCAUCUGAAACUGCUAAGCUAGAGUGCAGGAGAGGAAAGCGGAAUUCCGAGUGUAGCGGUGAAAUGCGUAGAGAUUCGGAGGAACACCAGUAGCGAAGGCGGCUUUCUGGACUGUAACUGACACUGAGGCACGAAAGCGUGGGGAGCGAACA
rnacentral:rRNA from 1 species